rnacentral:rRNA from 1 species
GAUGAACGCUGGCGGCGUGCCUAAUACAUGCAAGUCGAGCGGUAAGGCCUCUUCGGAGGUACACGAGCGGCGGACGGCUGAGUAGCGCGUAGGAACGUACCCCAAAGUGAGGGAUAAGCACCAGAAAUGGUGUCUAAUACCGCAUGUGAUCUAAGGAUUAAAGCUUCGGCGCUUUGGGAACGGCCUGCGUAUGAUUAGCUAGUUGGUGAGGUAAUGGCUCACCAAGGCGAUGAUCAUUAGCUGGUCUGAGAGGAUGAUCAGCCAGACUGGGACUGAGACACGGCCCAGACUCCUACGGGAGGCAGCAGUAGGGAAUUUUCCACAAUGGGCGAAAGCCUGAUGGAGCAACGCCGCGUGCAGGAUGAAUGCCUUCGGGUUGUAAACUGCUUUUAUAUGUGACGAUUAUGACGGUAGCAUAUGAAUAAGGAUCGGCUAACUCCGUGCCAGCAGCCGCGGUAA